rnacentral:rRNA from 1 species
CCUACGGGUGGCAGCAGUCGAGAAUCAUUCACAAUGGGGGAAACCCUGAUGGUGCGACGCCGCGUGGGGGAAUGAAGGUCUUCGGAUUGUAAACUCCUGUCAUGUGGGAUCAAAUUAAAAAGAUAGUACCACAUGAGCAAGAGACGGCUAACUCUGUGCCAGCAGCCGCGGUAAUACAUAGGUCGCAAGCGUUGUUCGGAAUCACUGGGCGUAACGGGUGCGUAGGCGGGUUCGUAAGUCGUGUGUGAAUGGCGCGGGCUCAACCCGCGGACGGCACAUGAUACUGCGAGACUAGAGUAAUGGAGGGGGAGACGGAAUUCUCGGUGUAGCAGUGAAAUGCGUAGAUAUCGAGAGGAACACUCGUGGCGAAGGCGGGUUCCUGGACAUCAACUGACGCUGAGGCACGAAGGCCAGGGGAGCGAAAGGGAUUAGAUACCCGGGUAGUC